ACCCGCACAAGCGGUGGAUGAUGUGGUUUAAUUCGAUGCAACGCGAAAACCUUACCCACCUUUGACAUGCACGGAAUCCUUUAGAGAUAGAGGAGUGCUCGAAAGGGAACCGGAACACAGGUGCUGCAUGGCUGUCGUCAGCUCGUGUCGUGAGAUGUUGGGUUAAGUCCCGCAACGAGCGCAACCCUUGUCCUUAGUUGCUACGCAAGAGCACUCUAAGGAGACUGCCGGUGACAAACCGGAGGAAGGUGGGGAUGACGUCAAGUCCUCAUGGCCCUUAUGGGUAGGGCUUCACACGUCAUACAAUGGUCGGUACAGAGGGUUGCCAAGCCGCGAGGUGGAGCCAAUCCCACAAAGCCGAUCGUAGUCCGGAUUGUUCUCUGCAACUCGAGAGCAUGAAGUCGGAAUCGCUAGUAAUCGCAGGUCAGCAUACUGCGGUGAAUACGUUCCCGGGUCUU
rnacentral:rRNA from 1 species